AUAAACUAGUUGACGUUGAACUUUUUAACUUAAUUGUACAAUUCGGCGCGACUUGGACUAUUCGUUGAGCUGGAAAUCGGCACUUUUAGUCAAAUUCAAAGAUGAGGCAGCAGAAACAGAUUGGUGAUGUGCGUUACCGGACAUUCAUCGAUUGGGCUUAGAAAAUAUCGAUUACACGCUGCGAUGGUUUGUAAAAGAAAUUGAAGUGGCAACGCUAAAGGAAAGAGUGGCAAUGUGUGCAGGUGCCUAACUUGGCUAUGCUCGCUGGCAGAUGAUCGCUGCUAUGAAGCCAUGCGUGAUAACGUAGCUGCUUACGUUUUUAUUGAAAAAGUGCAGCAUACUUUUCGGCUAUGUCUAUAUCUAAAAUAUAUGUAGGAAGUAUGUAGAACUCAAUCCGUCUAUUUCACUUAGUUGUAGAAGUUUUGGUAGUAAGAAAAAAUCUUCAUUCAUUCAUUUCCCUAGAACACUCGGCCAUCAACCUGUCCCUACAAUAACUGCUCAAUCGCAGCUUAUGCUCGUAAAAACUUUUUAGUAUUCAUGGUUUUGGCAUUAACGAUGCCAAUUAUGGCAGCGUUUUAUUUAGCUUUACUUUCAGUUUUAUUUUUUAGUACUUAAGAGAGUGACAGCGACGUCGGCAGAGAGGAGAGCAGCGUCAUUGGGCGUGGUCGCUGCCCCCAAAAGAAUGGGAGCAAACUCCAUAGAAACGCAGAACGAAUUCAACCAAUCGCCUGCAAGUCUCUUGUCUUCGAAGAGCGCCUGCGCAGAGAGCAAAAGAAAGUGGCGAGCGGAAACCAGUUUUUGUGACGAUGAGGGUGACGAUGAAGAGGAGUGGGGAGUCGGGGUGGCUGAUAAAGAUGGCCGUCGCCUUCCGCGGCGCAGGAAGCAGCGAAGAGCGGGGGGCAGGGCAGCGGAACCGCCUCAGACCCAAAGUCACAAUUAUGGGGCACUCAUUCAUUGCGGUGUAUGAUGCAAACAGCGCUCUCCUCGCUUUUCUCUCUUUUCCACCAAACUCUGCUGUACAGUCCGACGUCUUUAGCUCUGAUUUAUUCACACGAUUUUUUGUUUUAUUUUACUAUCUUGAUUCUGUAUUAUACUUAUUGUGAAGAUACUACUUGACAAGACGACAAACGGUGUAACUCCAUUUAUAAAAAAUUGGUUAGU
ensembl:ncRNA lncRNA:CR45324 long non-coding RNA:CR45324